rnacentral:rRNA from 1 species
UACGAAGGGUGCAAACGUUGCUCGGAAUUAUUGGGCGUAAAGCGCACGUAGGCGGCAUUGCAAGUCGGAUGUGAAAUCCCUCGGCUUAACCAAGGAAGUGCAUCCGAAACUGCAGUGCUUGAGUACUUAAGAGGAUCGCGGAAUUCCCAGUGUAGAGGUGAAAUUCGUAGAUAUCGGGAGGAACACCCGUGGCGAAAGCGGCUCUCUGGAACGGUACUGACGCUGAGACGCGAAAGCGUGGGGAGCGAACAGG